CUUAGGGGAUGAAGUCGGAAUAGCGGCUUUUCUUAGUUGGAGCCUUGAAGUUACCCGGAGAGGUUGAACGAGUGCGGUACGAGCAACUGGGCAGAAAGCAGGCGUAAAAAGAAAAAAAGACUGCGUUCCCAUGACGUACUAAACCACCGACCGAUCAAGUUAAUUGUAGUUUCAUCGUGUUCUGCGUGCUCAACUUGCGUGGCUGGUUUUGAAUUCAAUGCAUGGACUUAUAUGGCUGUGUAUACUUUACUCCUGUAUUUCUUCCUUGCCUCCACUUUCUACAAUAUGGCUAGAAAUCUGCUCUGCAAAAACCUUUAGAAGGCAGCAACGGAGGCUGCCUGAUUCCAGAUCACUCUGGGUGGCGUACAUGAUCAAUUAAAAGACAGAAACAAAGAAAGAGAAAGAAAAAGAAAGAAAAAAAAGAAAAAGCAUGAAAAAUCCUGAACUUCCAGAUAGAUAAAUACAAUGUUCCAAAAAUACCUUAAAAAAAAAAAACCAUGAGAGGGGCUUAGCAGCCAUCCUACCCUGCCAGACCUGGAACCAAAACUGAGUUUUAAGUGACUUUCAAAACGUUGGGACAAGAACAGUACAUAUCUUCAGAGGGAUGCAAUUCCAGAGAGCAGGCACAAUAUAGAAAUCCCAUUUCCUACAUCCCAAUAGAUGACACUGUUUUUGAACUGAAAGGAUCUGGAGUGCACCCACUCUGCUCAGUUUUAUUGGAGGGCAGACUUUAUUGGAGGAAUUUUGCAGGAAAUCCGAGUUUCUGUACCACGCGAGCAUAUUUUCGGGCUGCCAGUCGUGACUGCUCUUCACUGCAAAUUUACAACAAGCAUGAAAAAACAAAGCCAGCCAGCAAAGCUUUACGACAAGAGAUUCUGGAUGGCUCUUUCAUGAUACUGAGUCAUGUUUAUCAGAAGGGAAGGAGUGUGGACACCUUCAUUAUUUAAUCCAGCUGGUGAGCAAUCUCUCUUCUCUCCACCCUGCAAUUACCAAGGGUACAUCAAAACAACUCAAAACUUGGAGAAAUAGCCUUAAAGAUGAAGGAUUUGCAGCUGAACCAUGCUAUGAAAAUAUUAAGAGGCUGAACUAUUUGAUAAGACAUUUGCUGUCUUGCUUGAAGAGAAGGGUAAGAAAUAGACAGUGGUGAAACUGUCCAGGAUUGUUUGGAUUAAAAAAGAAGUAGACAGUAGAAACAGGGGUAGUUUGAAACACUCAAAAGAUAGUUCACUUGUUUUAUGUAUAUCUGUUACCUUGUAUUAUAAGAAUUGGCCAUCCAAUUCUGGAAAACUGUUUUUUAUCAUAUGUUGAAUAUAAUGAUGCUGUGUUAUUAUAAAUGUCUCAAAAAUAUUGUAUGGUUUUACAGUUGGCAAUUUUUGCACACACACAAAGCUGCUUAAUA